UGGGGAAUUUUGGACAAUGGGGGAAACCCUGAUCCAGCCAUCCCGCGUGUGCGAUGAAGGCCUUCGGGUUGUAAAGCACUUUUGGCAGGAAAGAAACGUCGCGGGUUAAUACCCCGCGAAACUGACGGUACCUGCAGAAUAAGCACCGGCUAACUACGUGCCAGCAGCCGCGGUAAUACGUAGGGUGCAAGCGUUAAUCGGAAUUACUGGGCGUAAAGCGUGCGCAGGCGGUUCGGAAAGAAAGAUGUGAAAUCCCAGAGCUUAACUUUGGAACUGCAUUUUUAACUACCGGGCUAGAGUGUGUCAGAGGGAGGUGGAAUUCCGCGUGUAGCAGUGAAAUGCGUAGAUAUGCGGAGGAACACCGAUGGCGAAGGCAGCCUCCUGGGAUAACACUGACGCUCAUGCACGAAAGCGUGGGGAGCAAACAGGAUUAGAUACCCUGGUAGUCCACGCCCUAAACGAUGUCAACUAGCUGUUGGGGCCUUCGGGCCUUGGUAACGUAGCUAACGCGUGAAGUUGACCGCCUGGGGAGUACGGUCGCAAGAUUAAAACUCAAA
rnacentral:rRNA from 1 species